UACGAAGGGGGCUAGCGUUGCUCGGAAUCACUGGGCGUAAAGCGCACGUAGGCGGGUCUUUAAGUCAGGGUGAAAUCCGGAGCUCAACUCCGGAACUGCCUUUGAUACUGGAGAUCUUGAGUCCGGGAGAGGUGAGUGGAACUCCGAGUGUAGAGGUGAAAUUCGUAGAUAUUCGGAAGAACACCAGUGGCGAAGGCGGCUCACUGGCCCGGUACUGACGCUGAGGUGCGAAAGCAUGGGGAGCGAACAGGG
rnacentral:rRNA from 1 species